AUUGAACGCUGGCGGCAUGCUUUACACAUGCAAGUCGAACGGUAACAGGCCGCAAGGUGCUGACGAGUGGCGAACGGGUGAGUAAUGCAUCGGAACGUGCCCAGUCGUGGGGGAUAACGCAGCGAAAGCUGCGCUAAUACCGCAUACGAUCUAUGGAUGAAAGCGGGGGACCGUAAGGCCUCGCGCGAUUGGAGCGGCCGAUGUCAGAUUAGGUAGUUGGUGGGGUAAAGGCUCACCAAGCCAACGAUCUGUAGCUGGUCUGAGAGGACGACCAGCCACACUGGGACUGAGACACGGCCCAGACUCCUACGGGAGGCAGCAGUGGGGAAUUUUGGACAAUGGGCGCAAGCCUGAUCCAGCAAUGCCGCGUGCAGGAAGAAGGCCUUCGGGUUGUAAACUGCUUUUGUCAGGGAAGAAAUCCUCUAGGUUAAUACCCUUGGGGGGAUGACGGUACCUGAAGAAUAAGCACCGGCUAACUACGUGCCAGCCGCCGCUGUAAAAC
rnacentral:rRNA from 1 species